rnacentral:rRNA from 1 species
UACGAAGGGUGCAAGCGUUACUCGGAAUUACUGGGCGUAAAGCGUGCGUAGGUGGUUUGUUAAGUCUGAUGUGAAAGCCCUGGGCUCAACCUGGGAACGGCAUUGGAAACUGGCUUACUAGAGUGCGGUAGAGGGGUGCGGAAUUCCCGGUGUAGCAGUGAAAUGCGUAGAUAUCGGGAGGAACAUCUGUGGCGAAGGCGACACCCUGGACCAGCACUGACACUGAGGCACGAAAGCGUGGGGAGCAAACAGG